UACGGGCUUUAUCGAAGCUAUUGAAAAUUUCUGUUAGUUUUCAGUGGUCAAAAAAAGCCAAUAUUAAUUUUUCUACUAUUAUGGUCGCUGACUGUGCAGAUCAUAAUUCAGCACACCCAAUGUAGGAACAGUC
rfam:Rhodnius prolixus Rhodnius_prolixus-3.0.3-0.7, whole genome shotgun sequence.